AAGUCGUAACAAGGUUUCCGUAGGUGAACCUGCGGAAGGAUCAUUACCAAAUCCAAAUCCCAAACCCCAUGUGAACUAUUGUUUAGUCUGUCUUUGGGAGAAAAGAAUGAAAAAAGUUAUAUUUAGUAAAAGAGCUUUUAGUUCUUUUCUACUUAAAGCUUUGAAAUUUUUUUCUCCCAAUAGAGUCCGGCGCGACGUUAUUGUUGUGUCCAGAUUCGAAACCCCCUUUAUUAAACCACUUGAUUUUUCUGUUGGAAUUUACUUUUAUUAAUUUAAAUAAAAGACAACUUUUAACGGUGGAUCUCUUGGCUCGU
rnacentral:misc_RNA from 1 species